GCUUUCCUAAUGGGAUCUUGGAUCUUCAUUCUUUUUGGUUUUCUGGUUCUGUGCACAGCUGCUUGCCAGGUUUGCUAAAUUCCAAAAACUUUUCCUGACACCAGGGCUGCAGUCACUGCAAUCCAUGCACCAUGCUCAGGAAAUGGGAGCAGGAUAGUUGUGAGCUGACUUUUGUUAUACAUUCAGCAGACAAACCCACAGCUAAGGCUAUGGGAUGGAAAAAUGGCAUGAAUGAGAAUCCUAUCUUUUGUGGCUAAGGACAGGAAAGGCAGAAAUACACAGAUGAGGUGAUGAGAGGCCCACUAGUAGCAGCAACAAAAAAAAAAAUAGAUUUUAAAAAAUGAAUCAUACAUUCCAGGGUUCAAAAUAUGCCGUGCUCUAAGACUGGCUGCUUUUAACAGGACGUUAUGGUCAUUUAUAGGCUAUGCAUUUCAUAUCUGAAGUGACAGAUCUUGUGCCGUAUGCCUAGGAAACUUUCCAAGGUAAUACACAAGACUGCAGGAACAUCCAGAUGUUUGUUCAUGUAGUUUCUCCCACCUCUGCAGAGUCCGUUCUUUAUUAAGUAGGAGUUGUCAAGAGACGUAUCCACUUUCAAGAACGACAGCUCCAAGUCCACGUCCUGUGCAGAAAGGGAAGGGGAGCUGACACAGCUGGUGGCUGUUCCCAAAAGAAAGAGUGACAUAUCAAACCACUGAAAUUUCCUACACCGCUGUCUCUGUGUCUGCAAACUGGGGCUACCAUAAAGGCUGUCAUGAGGCACGUAUUUCAAAAGCGUGCCUUGAAGCUCCUGACAGCAGAGGUCUGGAUAUUGCUAAAUGUCAGCUUUCAGUUCCAGGAUCUCAAAUAGGAAAUAAUGGAAAUAGACAACAUUUAUCCUCUAAGAUAGGCCACAAUGUGUGGAACAGGAAAAAAAUAGCAUUGCCACAACAGCCCCUUUGUGAAUGGCGCGACAGGGACUGAGGCUUGUAUUUAUAUGAGCCUGCACAGAUCCCCAUAAAAACAUUGGCCUGAGAUGGGUCAGUGGAUGUGCUAAAUGAAGGCACUACGGCAUUGUUCUGCGUUGGCCCACUAAUGCCAAGAAAAACACUUUGCAAGGCCUAGUCACAUGUAUUUCUGACCUGCUAGAUAGCGUGUUAUGACACUUGCUUCCUGGAAAAACAGAAAGGGAACUUGCUUUCUACAGAACUGGAUCUGUGGUUGAGGUUUUGCAAGUAAUAUGGGCUUGCCACAUGAGCAGGGCUUCUUGUGACCCCCGCAUCACACCCUCUGAGCUUCUGUUGAAACGAGAGGCUGCCUUCUAGGGGGCACCCAGCUUGUAGCACGGGUGAGGGAGAGCUCCCCUGGGCUGAGCCCCUUACUGGCUCUGUCCUCCUCCAGCUGUAGCGUCAGCUAGCGAGGGAUGAGGGAAGAGACGUCUGUUUCAGAUUAAGGGAUCAGUCCAAAACGUUCUGUUCAAUGCAAAAAAAAAAAAAAAAAAAAGAAACCCACACCACAGUGUCGCCGUGAAACAGCCAGAACCCUUCAAAAGGGAAAGGAUGGGAGGAAUACAGUAGAUGGCAAAGUAACUUCUUGUUAUGACCUGCCCAAGGAUGGCAAGUGGAGAACCACGGUCUGCUUUCUGCUAAGCAGCACAGGUCUCCUGCCACUGCUUCUCCUGUGACUCAGCCCACUCGCUGCAGUGAAAUGUUAACAGCAUUGGACUGGCUCAUCCUGCGGAUUUAGAAAGAAGCCAUCUGGACUGGGAGUCACUCUACUCACCCGUUACAUACAGAGGUACCAAACUCUAUGCCCAAGAAAGAAGGAGACAACUGCAUCUGUGACUGACUGAAUCCUACACGUCAGCAGCUGCAUCACCGAGAAAACAGCUGCAGCAUGCCGCGAUGGCUCUACGAAUCCCACCGGUUUGGGAUUAGGUAAUGUGGUUUGCAAGGCCGGCAGAUGGCAAUCUUUGUAUUCGUUUGCUCUCGUGCAGAGCAUUUUCAUCUCAGCAUACAUAACACCCGUUGCAUCAGUCAGUUUGGGGUAGGAUUUGUGUCGUUCCCGGCCAGAAGAUGUUUUGUUCUUCCUGGCUGACAUUUCCAUCCCAGAUGUCAACCAGAUGGAGAACAAGAAAUGGGUCUAUGUGAGAGCUUUCCUCUCACCAGGCAGCCCUGCAAACCGGACACGGAGAGGUGCUAAACUCAAGGCCACCUUGAGCACAGGCCAAUAAUAAUACCCAGGUAUCAGAACUUCACUGCAUCUCAAACAGAGCCCAAACCUAUGGGGCUGCAACUCUGUCAGUACCUUGGGAGGCUGAGCCUCGGUAUUGAAGCCUUUAAUUUUAAAGUCUGUGCUGUAAGUGUCACGUUGCAGCGUCAGUUCCUAACAACGCUGCUGGGGACUCCACAGAAAAAUGGAUCAUUAAAAAGUGAAGAUUCAAAUGGGGCCACCCUAUUUACCAAGAGUGCCUUUCUAUUUCAGGAGCCCGAUCUGACAGACCAGGCACUGCUCUUUUUAUUAUGGGUCACUGCUUUUUCAAGCCUCCCUGUAUUGACUCCCUUUCCUGCUUCCAUCCCGGGGACCUCUGCUUACACUCUUCCUUGUUAUUUCCCCAGCUGCUGGCUGGGUUACGACCCCAGUCACAUCCCUGAUAACAGCUUCCUCCCUCCUUAGGCAAGCGAGGAGCCAGCAUAGUUCAAGAAACCUGUCCCUUGCUUGAGGAGCAACGCCUCCUUCGCAGGAUUCAGACUCACUUCUCUGUGCCCCAGCCACCCCCACUGGCAUCACUGGGGACCCUCCACCUGCAGAUCUGCCUCCCAGCCCCUUCCCUCCUUUCACCUUCCAUGGCAGCAAUUUCUCUUCCACUCUCUGGAGGACUGCCUGGAAGCCUACUGCAAUGGAGAGCUUUGUCACUCCUCUGGCUCUCUCCUUCUUGCUGCUGCCUUGUUUCUCCAGGUUUUGUUGGACUGAGAAUGUGCCCUAAUUCAGGAGGUAGCUGACUGCCCUGUUAACUCCUUACCAGCUGCAACAAUGCAGUUGUGUGCACACCCCUUCACACGUGAUUUAUGUUCAAUUCCAGUACCUAAAGCAGAAUAUAGGAAGACCCACAAUGCGGUUAUUCUUGAACAGAUAAUACUUUCCCUUUGUGGACAGAGCAUUCGCUUUCACUUCCCUAUUAAAACCACUCUGAGGGCUGUGAGGUUUUGCGUUCCAUCUUUCUCAAAGUGCUGGUGUCAAUUCAGUGAAACAAAGAAUAGAUUUCCCCAAGCCUCCAGAGAGCUGCACCCUUCAGGGGUGGGUGUCAUUUUGCUCUCAAAUUUCCCUUGGAGAUGUGUCCAUAGGGAUCUCAUCCCAUCCUUUUGCCUUGUCUUCCAGUCCUCCUAAGAAGCUCUCUCAGAUGCUUGAUUUGAAGACCCUAAACAGCAGAAAAUCUCCACAUUCUUGGAGAAAUUAUCCCAGGGCUUAACUGAGAUCACUGUUCACUACCAGUAACUGCAAUUACUUCAAGUAUGCAUUUGCUAAGAUUUAAUUCCUAAUCAUUGGAUAUGGUUAAGCCUUCCUCUGCCGGAUUACAAAGCCAUUUACUUUCAAAAGUCUCUUUCCUGUGUAUGCGCGAGAAGAUCAUGCCCAAGGUGUGACUGUGCCUUCUCCAAACUUUUCCCACCUUCAGUUGAAUAGCAUCAUAUUGUAGCCCGGACAACAAUAUCCAGAUGUCACAUUGCUUUGAACCCUUUGUAAUCCUUUUGAAAAGCUUGAAUGUACAUGGCAGUAACAGCCUCACUGAUACCAUACACCAGUUCCUAACUUGUCAUUGACACAUGGGCAGACUUCUUCCUUGCUGCAAUAACACCCAGAAGCUUACUUCCAGUGGUUUAACUACUCUGACCUUUAUGUCACUUAUAGAAUAGCUGCCUGGUAGGAUAUUGUUCUUCAUUUGCAGCUGCCUUACAAUCUAUCAUCUUUGGUGAUCUGUCACCUUCUGAUAUAUUUAAAAGAGAGUCGGUGGCAUGCCUACUUUGCAGUCAGGUUGCAAGAGCAAAACAAAGUUCUCACAGAAACUCUUGACUGUAUCUAAAAUUUGACAGAACAGAAAGCAGAGAUAAUAAGGAAAUCUCUCCUUCACUUUUAUGCACUGGAUGCAUUUUUCUUGGCUUCAUUCAACAUAUGCCGAUAAAAGAUGUUUUAACUCGGUGUGAUUUCAAACUAUCACCAACCUCAAGAAAACUGAGGUAACUUAGUGAAAAAAAAAAAUCAUUUACCCCAAAUUAAGCAUUUGGCCUCAGCUUUGUGGGGCGACUUUUUUAAUCCUUGUAGUAAAUCUGAAAGAAACAUUGAAAUGAAAACCUCAUUCAGACUUAGAAUUUAUUUUCUUUAAAAAAGUCACAAUGAGACCGUGUAGUGUUCAAAGGCCUGGUUUUUUUCCUUGUCAAGAUUAAUAACCCAGCAGACCUGCCACUAAUGGAAGUUUAAGUGGAAAAUGUUACCCACCCUUGCUCCACAGAGCUCCAUUUUUGUGGUGCUUCUGAGAGGUACAAUUCUCCUCCUUCCUAGCUGAUGUAGGAUAUGAUAUUUU